AUACGGAGGGUGCGAGCGUUAAUCGGAAUUACUGGGCGUAAAGCGUACGUAGGCGGUUGGUUAAGUUAGAUGUGAAAGCCCCGGGCUUAACCUGGGAACUGCAUUUAAAACUGACGAACUAGAGUUGAGUAGAGGGGAGUGGAAUUUCAGGUGUAGCGGUGAAAUGCGUAGAGAUCUGAAGGAACACCAGUGGCGAAGGCGACUCCCUGGACUCGAACUGACGCUGAGGCGUGAAAGCGUGGGGAGCAAACAGGAUUAGAAACCCCAGUAGUCC
rnacentral:rRNA from 1 species